AACGCAAAUUGCACUGUUGGGUCCUCCCAGCAGUAUGUCUGUUUGAGUGUCAGCACUUACUAUAAUCAUCAUUUGAUGCAUUGUUGAUACUUUAUGAUGAUGAUGAUGAAUGAUCAUCAUAAUGUAUUUAAGUAUAUUGAUCAUUGAUAAAUUGUGCAGGAAGAAAUUAGGUUAUUCAUUAUUUUCAUGUGGUAUAACCUUUGCUUACAUGCAUUAAGCAAGAGCAAAGGGCUAUAUGAUUUUCUAAUGAUAAUUUUUCCUUUUUUCCCUCUAAUUUUAUCUAUUUUUAUACUACUACUAGUAGUACUACUACCAAAAUUAACAACUUGACCUCAAAUUAGACAAGGCUACCCGCUGAAUUUAA
rnacentral:misc_RNA from 1 species